UAUUUUUUUUGGUUUUGUUUGCCUUUCAGAUUGUUCCCUAUUCUUUAUUUUGUUUUCUUUCUGGUAUGGCCAUGCCCUUUCUUCCUUCCGCUUCCGAUUUUUGCGUUUUUCUUUUUCAUUUUUCAUUCAUGGUACUUUGUGUGUGGAUAUUAAUUUUUUAAUUAUAAAUUAGUGCGACUAUGAUAGGCCCUGUUUAUUUUGUUUGCUCAUCAUUUUUCUUUGCCAGGAAGUUGCUCUGGCCUUCACAAGUAAUUUCACAAAAAGUUUCUCACGGUUCACUACAAUCUCAGGAGUUGCGCUCAGAAGGCUGGCGCAGCAACUCGCCUGAAGUGGAAGUGAAAUUUGAUUGUGAUUGGCGUUACAACCACCUGCAAUGGCUUUAUUGGAAGUGUCUUGUUUAGUAUUUUAGGCAUUAUGGAUGAUGCAUUCCAUCUAAAGUGAAACCUGCAUAACUACUAGCAGGAUGGGAAAAUCUGGACUAAUUUUGGUUUGGUGUUUUAGGAUUGCUUGUAUAUCUUAUUUAUUCCCUUUUAGGUUUUGGUUUAUAUGUAGUACCACUGUGUUAUAUAGAAGUAAUGGAGGUUUUGAUUUGUGCUAUAUGCAAGUGCAGAAAUAAGAAGCCAGCCGAAUGGUACUGCUUCAGCUUGAUUCGUAGAGUCUUAUGGCAGUGCAAUAAAAAAUUCACGAGGAGAUUUCAAUACCUUUAUGUUGUGCAUGUGUAUUUCCUACAUGUGAAUUGAUAUUUAGGGUAUCUGUGCCCAUGUCAAAGUUGUAUAUUUCUGAGAUGGCUCUGUCUUGAAUGGCACAUUUGUGUUAAUUGGUAUUUGUUGCUUGAUUUGGGCGUGAGAAGCAUUGGGCGUCUUUUUUGCGAACUGAAGUGUUAUGAUUAUGUUUAUGUACAUUGCUCUUCUAUGUUUCAACUGUAAGGAAGUUUCUAUUUUUUUUUUUGUCUUAUUCUCUCAAAUCAUUCUUGGUUUGAAGAUAUAUAUAUUUUUUUAUUGUCUACCAUGUUUGCCUGGAAGUAGUUCUACAUUGCAUUUUUCUGCUGGACUGAUGUUUGUGGCUUCGAUUUGAAGUGUCCAAAUUUUUAUUUGAAAUUUCUAGGAUGUUUGUGCCAUCUUUAAUGUAUCAGUUCAAUACAGUUAGUGAGACAAGGUAUUUGUCUGCUCCACUUGGUAUGCAUGUCAGUUGCACUAUGUGACCUGUCUUAAAAUACGCUUACCUGGAUUUGUCAUUAAAAUGUUGGUGGGUCUCAUUCAUCUAUGAUGCCUGCUAUUAUAUAUUUUCGUAAAUGAUUUACUUUUGGGCUUCUUAAUACCUAUUUAUAUUGCAAAG